UUAAUAGGUAGAAUAAUAGUAAAAUAAAAAGAAAAUCUAUCAUCUUUUUACUUCUCUUUCUUCUCUUUCUUCUCCACCGAUUCUUACCCAAGGAAAUGGCCAUGGAAGCUUGAAAAUUUCAGCAGCUUCUAACCCUCACAUAUCAAGGAAGAUGAAAUUCGGAAUUUGAUCGGGAGAAAAGCAAGAUAAUAGAGUAAUUGACUUAUUUCAUCGUUUCAUACUGAGGUAAGUUCGUAUGUUAAUAAGCAUUAAAUUUGAUAUGUUUAAAUGUUUAAUUGAUAUCAUGUAUUAUUUCGUAUGUUAUUAUUGGAUCAUGAAUAAUAUAAAAAUACGAGAUCGUAUUGAAAGAUCAAAUUAAGAGAAAUGCAGGGUUGAGCAUGAUCGAGUUACAACAUGUUUUGAAUUGACGGUAAAGACCAUGGUUGGACCAUGUCAAUACGUGUAACUACGUAAGACCAUGUUUGGGACAUGGAAUCAGCAUUGUUAUGUGAGCCAGUGUAAGACCAUGUCUGGGACAUGGCAUCGGCAUCAUUAUGUAAGCCAGUAUAAAACCAUGUCUGGGACAUGGCAUCAACAUAGUUAUGUGAGCCAGUGUAAGACCAUGUCUAGGACAUGGCAUUGGCAUGAGGCAUCGUGUAAGACCAUAGCUAGGCUAUUAGCAUCGAUAUGAGAUUUCCAUGUAAGACCAUGUCUGGGACAUGGAAUUGGCACAAUACAUCAUGUACAAGUUUUCCCGAGUAUCCUUGGUAUCCCAAGAGGUUCAACGGGUAAAUCCAAAGAUUUUGUCAAAUAAAUGACAAUGUAUGAUCAUGUUGAAAGGGUACAGGUAUGUACGCAAAAUUCAUAAGUAAUAAAUUCGAUGUAUAUGGGACAUUUGGUAAUAA